AAUAUCAAAGGUGAGCCAGUACAGGAUGGACCCGCGUCUGAUUAGCUAGUUGGUAAGGUAACGGCUUACCAAGGCGACGAUCAGUAGCCGACCUGAGAGGGUGAUCGGCCACAUUGGAACUGAGACACGGUCCAAACUCCUACGGGAGGCAGCAGUGGGGAAUAUUGCACAAUGGGCGAAAGCCUGAUGCAGCAACGCCGCGUGAGGGAUGAAGGCCUUCGGGUCGUAAAACUCUGUCCUCAAGGAAGAUAAUGACGGUACUUGAGGAGGAAGCCCCGGCUAACUACGUGCCAGCAGCCGCGGUAAUACGUAGGGGGCUAGCGUUAUCCGGAUUUACUGGGCGUAAAGGGUGCGUAGGCGGUCUUUCAAGUCAGGAGUGAAAGGCUACGGCUCAACCGUAGUAAGCUCUUGAAACUGGGAGACUUGAGUGCAGGAGAGGAGAGUGGAAUUCCUAGUGUA
rnacentral:rRNA from 1 species